GCCGGAGUAGCUCAGCUGGUAGAGCAACGCUUUGGUAAAGCGAAGGUCGGGGGUUCGAGUCCUCUCUCCGGCUCCA
rnacentral:tRNA from 1 species